CUCUCCUUUCCCUUUCUCCUUCCAUUUUCACCUUUCCCUUUCUGCCCCACCGGAAUUUGCAAUGAAGAACAUUUAGGUAAAUGUAAUCCACAAAUUAUACACUAAUUUGAUGAAUUGAGACUCCUGCAGAGUUGGUUAUCAUCUUUCCGGUGUCUACAUUCGCGUUUUCUACACUAGUUUUCAAAACCACCGCCGAAAUGACCACCAGAGGAAGCAGAUCAGAGAAGGUGAAGCGAAUUUUCCAGAAAUUUGAUUCCAACCGAGAUGGUGGACUCAAUAGAGAAGAAAUGGCCGCUUUGGUGGUGGCUGUGAACCCUAGGGUCAAAUUCAGUGAUGAGCAAAUCAACGCCAUUCUCGACGAAGUGUUUCGUACUUACGGCGAGUUCAUUGAUGGCGAUAAUGGUUUAACCUAUGAUGGCUUGUUGCGUACUUACGAUGACGGGGCUGGUGACGUCGACCGUGACUUUGAUGCGCUUGAACUCGAGCUCAAUUUGGACGAUAAUAAAGGGAUCUCGAUCGAAUCUGAAGCGUCUUCCUCGUUGAUUUUGGAUGAGAGGACUAUGGAAUCACAAAAGAAGCAGAGGACUGCAGCGUGGGCAGUUUCUCCUAACCAUGGGAUUGUUUUUGAUGAUACAUGGAAAAUCGUGGACGAUUUGGAGAUUUUGAUCAAGAGAUUGAAAGCUAAGCAGUCGAAAGAUGGGAAAGUGAAGGGGGACAAUUUUGAUGCGUUUUCUGAUGCUGGGUGGUCGAGGGAACUGGGCCCAUCUUCUGAGAUAUCGGAUAAAAGGAUAUUUUGGGAGGAGUCGGGGCAUGAUUACGCAGUCUUCGUGAAGGAAUUGGGUGUUCUGAGGAGCCGAGCUGACGGGGCGAGAUCGAGAGAAGAGGCGUUUGAUGGGCAUAUGGC
rnacentral:misc_RNA from 1 species